CCUACGGGUGGCAGCAGUGGGGGAUAUUGCACAAUGGGGGAAACCCUGAUGCAGCGACGCCGCGUGGGGGAAGACGGUCCUCUGGAUUGUAAACCACUGUCCCCAGGGACGAAGAUGACGGAACCUGGGGAGGAAGCUCCGCCUAACCACGUGCCAGCAGCCGCGUUAAACCGGGGGGGUCGAGGGUUGUCCGGAAAUACUGGGUGUAAAGGGAGCGGAGGCGGGGAUGCAAGUUGGGUGUAAAAACUACCGGCUAAACUGGUAGUCGCACUCGAAACUGCAGCUCUUGAGUGAAGUAGAGGCAGGCGGAAUUCCUGGUGUAGCGGUGAAAUGCGUAGAUAUUAGGAGGAACACCCAUGGCGAAGGCGGCCUGCUGGGCUUUUACUGACGCUGAGGCUCGAAAGUGUGGGGAGCAAACAGGAUUAGAUACCCCGGUAGUC
rnacentral:rRNA from 1 species